rnacentral:rRNA from 1 species
UACGUAGGUGGCGAGCGUUGUCCGGAUUUACUGGGCGUAAAGAGCGCGCAGGCGGUCGUUCAAGUCGCGUGUGAAAGCCCCCCGGCUCAACUGGGGAGGGUCACGCGAUACUGAUCGACUCGAAGGCAGGAGAGGGGAAGUGGAAAUUCCCGGUGUAGUGGUGAAAUGCGUAGAUAUCGGGAGGAACACCAGUGGCGAAGGGCGGCUUCCUGGCCUGUUCUUGACGCUGAGGCGCGAAAGCUAGGGGAGCAAACGGG